rnacentral:rRNA from 1 species
AUUAGAGUUUGAUCCUGGCUCAGAAUCAGGCGGGCGCCUAACACAUGCAAGUCGAACGAGAAAGCGGGAGCAAUCUCGCAAGUACAGUGGCGUACGGGUGAGUAACACGUGGAUGAUCUGCCCUGGAGUGGGGAAUAACGCUGGGAAACCGGCGCUAAUACCGCAUAUUCCCGAGAGGGGAAAGCAGCAAUGCGCUCGAGGAGGAGUCCGCGGCCGAUUAGCUAGUUGGCAGGGUAAAAGCCUACCAAGGCUAUGAUCGGUAGCCGGCCUGAGAGGGCACACGGCCACACUGGCACUGAAACACGGGCCAGACUCCUACGGGAGGCAGCAGUGGGGAAUCUUGCACAAUGGGGGAAACCCUGAUGCAGCGACGCCGCGUGAGCGAUGAAGCCUUCGGGGUGUAAAGCUCUUUCGGCAGGGAAGAUUAUGACGGUACCUGCAGAAGCAGCUGCGGCUAACUACGUGCCAGCAGCCGCGGUAAUACGUAGGCAGCUAGCGUUGUUCGGAGUUACUGGUCGUAAAGGGUGUGUAGGCGGCCUGUUAAGUUCCGUGUGUCUCCCGGCUCAACCGGGAGGGUGCGCGGAAUACUGACGGGCUACAGUGCGGGAUGG